ensembl:lncRNA
GAGAUACUGGAGUGGGCGUGGUAACAGGCGGGGGGCGGGACUUUAAGGGCCGCAAAAGCCCACCCCCUGAGCUUCUUAAAUAUUCAAUUAGCUCCGAGCAGAGAGGCAGGCAUCAGCACGGGGGGAAACUUGACGGCAAGAAGACUCGGUUCAUUCAUUUUUGGAGCAGCGGGACUGCUUCAUGGAGACACUAGCACUCCUGUUGUGUUCCCGGAGAGUUGUUUCACUUUCUCCGGCCUGCCGUUAAACUUUUCACGGCCGUAACACCAUGGACCCGCUGUGGACGGGCACCGGCGCUUCGGUACGGCAUGCAAAUACGUACUCUGACGUCGGCGAUCAUGUGGCUUUUGGCGUAGAUCCUCCUUGUGAUCGCCAAUUUUUUCUUUCCUGUCGCCUGUUGUCUGCUCGGUUAUCGAGCCGCCGAGAGAGUGUUUGAAACAGAUUCGGCGUGUUUGUCGGCUCUCCAGCGGCUCUGGGAUUGUACCGCACUACCUGAGCGUCGCGCCAAAACGGUGGGCAGGCUUUCUCUGAUCAACAGCGAUUCCUCCCCUCCCACCCUCUUGUGUUAAAGAUGUUUAUGCAUCCGGAUAGAAAUAAUAUAAACUGCAUGUGAGUGCACAAGCAUCAAUUUAUGGUCACACAUUUUUAUGUUUGUCUUUAGCUCACGCUUGUAUUCCACAAUCUACGGCUGCUGUUUUUUAGAGACUAGCAGACCUGUCGUGGGUUUUUAACACAGACUUUUUUUUCUUUUUCUUUUACACUAAUUGGGAAUGCAUUUCCUGACCACACAUCACAUUUCCACAUCAAACUGUGAGUCCUAUAAUGGCUGUCCAUUCUCUUGGUGAAACACUGGAAUGAGUCAUCACGGGUUGGAGGAUGGAGGUUGUUGCUGUCAUCACGGCCUGUCGUGCUCAGCUUGGCACAGUACUGACAUCACCAGCAUCUACGCUGUGCUUUGUUCCAGUGUUUUCUCAGUUCAGGUCCUCCUCUCCGCUGUGCUUCCGCCGGCUUCCCAGACGUGUUGUUAGGUGACUAAGGCAACCACAGAGAUGAGCUCAUCACCUGUAGGUGGGGCUGAGAGGGAGGAUGUGAGGAGACAACUUAGGGAAAACAAGAAAUCAACACUUGUAUUAGAGACGACUUGUGAUGUCUGAGCUUGGUACACAAGAAGACGUUGGUUAGCACUUACCGUACUGAAAGUGAUGCAGAUGGACAACUGGAGCCAAUGGAGACUUGAGCCUCACACGCAUUUUAACCUGUAAAAGUAAUUCUCCAUGUUAGCAUCAGGUCGAUAUUUCAGCUUAAAAGAGCUGCCAUUCGUCAGCUCAGGACCUAGUUGAAUUCCUUGAAAUAUUCCCCCACAGCAGAAACAUUUCCAGGUAAAGCACACAAAAGGUCGCAGCGUUCUUAACCGCUGACAGUUUUACGUUUCCACUAA